UCUAUUACAACAUACAUGACUUAACUUCACUCUAGCCGACUUCCUGAUCUACCCUGUACCUGCAACUCUGGGGAUAAAGGGAGUGGGGUGAGCUACUAGAGCCCAGUGAGCAGAAUAAUAAAACAUCAAUUUAAAUCAUGCUUUCAUGAAUGCGCCAUAACACAAACAUUUCACAACAAGGAUGAACUUGUCACCAAUUAGCCCUUAUCUUUCUUACUUAUACAUGCUGGGGGCGUAGAGC
rnacentral:lncRNA from 1 species